CUGACCUCGAAAUCAGGUGGACUACCCGCUGACUUAAGCAUAUCA
rnacentral:rRNA from 1 species